UACGGAGGGUGCAAGCGUUAUCCGGAUUCACUGGGUUUAAAGGGUGCGUAGGUGGAUUGGUAAGUCAGUGGUGAAAUCUCCGAGCUUAACUCGGAAACUGCCAUUGAUACUAUCAGUCUUGAAUACCGUGGAGGUCAGUAGAAUAUGUCAUGUAGCGGUGAAAUGCUUAGAUAUGACAUAGAAUACCAAUUGCGAAGGCAGCUGGCUACACGAGCAUUGACACUCAGGCACGAAAGCGUGGGGAUCAAACAGG
rnacentral:rRNA from 1 species